UGCUAGCACAGUUGCCAUGGUGACUGAACUCUUAGAACUUAGAAACAACAGCUACAGGCGAUUCAGGACAAAAGCAGUGAACCCUUCUCUUGCUAAACUAGAGUAAUCUCUAUACCCAACGUGGGGCUUGAACCCACAAUCUGGAGACCAAGAACUGCACUCUCCACUGACUGAGCCAGCCAGAUAGCUAAACACAGAGUUUCCACAUGACCCAGCAAUUCACUCCCGAGAAUCGAAGAGAAUCCAAGAGAAUCGAAAACAGUUCCCACAGAGACUUGGACGUGAAUGUUCACAGCAGCAAUAUUCAGGGCGUCCAACAAUGGAAGCAACCCAAAAGUCUGUCAAGGAAGGAACGAAUGAACAAUGUGUGGUAGUCCGUCCAAUGGAAUAUGAUUUAGCCAUAAUCAGGAAUGAAGUCCUGACAUAGACUGUAACAUGGAUGAGACUUGGGAACAUUAAACUCGAUGAAAGAACCCAGCCACAAAAGGCCACUUCUUGUAUGAUUCCGCUCGUAUGAAGUCUUCACAACAGGUGGUCUUUGACUCCACUCUUCCUGUCUUCACUUCCUGCCCUCUCCUGUGUGGCUCCCCCACCCUGACCGCUCCUCUAGCAACCUCACGACUCCCCUCCAGCUGACUGUCCGCCGCACCUGCCUGGAAACCCCAACUCAGAGACACGAGGAGAACGCCACGUGAGGAGAAUUGGAGCCAUUCACCAAAGGUUAACCCCCACCACCAGAAGCUAGGAAGAGGCAAGGAAGGACAGUCCCUUACAGGUUUCAGAGGGAGCACGGCCCUGCCAGCAUCUUGAUUUCUAGUCUCCAGAACUUUGAGACCAUAAGCUUCCGGGUUUUGUUUCGUUUUGUUUUUUUAAAGCCAGUCAGUUUGUGGUGCUUGGUUACAACAGCCCGAGAAAUUAAUACACUAAAUUAAAAUAACAUUGAAAUGCCUUUUUUAUUUUUCCCAUCAGCUUGGCAAACAAAACAGAACAAAAAAAGAUGAUAAUAUCCAGUGCCGGCAAGGAUGUGGGUGUGAGAGAAUGCCCACCGCAAUGGCUGGUUGGAGUGGGAUUUAGUGACAUCUCACUGGAGGGUGAUUUGGGCCUCCUCCCAAUAAAACCUUCAAAUAAAAAUGAAAAGGUCCGGCAAUUCCUGUCUAUUGCGGAGAAGCGUAUGUGUUCACAAAAGAGAUGCAUGAAGAAUGUUCUCUGUUAUACUUUUGGAAUAGCCAAACACUGACAAACGCAUCAUGUCCCUUGGUAGGGGAUGAAUGGUUCCAUAAACUGGCUCGUCUCUUCUCAGGGAGGAUUCAUGAAGUUAAUGAAGCUUAAGCUUCCCUGCCCCUCCCUGGCAUCAGCUCCUUUGAAUGCCCGGAAGGGGUUCUAGCAAUUGCUCUCCGUAACUCUGCAUUGUUUUUCUUAAAGAAGUUGCCUCCAAACUCAAAAGCUUCGGGCCCCAUAAAACU